AAAUUGAAGAGUUUGAUCAUGGCUCAGAUUGAACGCUGGCGGCAGGCCUAACACAUGCAAGUCGAGCGGUAGCACAGAGAGCUUGCUCUCGGGUGACGAGCGGCGGACGGGUGAGUAAUGUCUGGGAAACUGCCUGAUGGAGGGGGAUAACUACUGGAAACGGUAGCUAAUACCGCAUAAUGUCGCAAGACC
rnacentral:rRNA from 1 species